GCCCGUAGUUCAGUCUGUUAUUGUUCCGUAACCCAACUCUGUAUCUGUCGUUACUCUGACAUGUUUUCUUUCAAAAUCAAAACAUAAAACAAAUCAAAACUCCUCUUCCCCAAAACACACUCUUUCUCUCUCUCUCUCAUGCUUGCUUACCCACUGAGGAUGCUACCCACCUAAGUUCUUAGACCCGUUUAUGCUUGGGAUCCUCGGGGUGAUUUCAAGCAAGGAAACCGUGGAGUUACUGAUCUAUUGAUUUAGGGUUUUGAUCGUUACCAACUCGUGAUUUUUGUUAACAAAUUGGAUCUUGAUCUGUUCGUGUUUCUCUUUAUUGGGUAGAGCAAGAUCUGGCAUUAUACUGCUACCUUGUGGUGCUGGAAAGUCUGUAGUUGGUGUCUCUGCAGCUUGCCAAAUAGAAAAAAGCUACCUUUGCUUAACAACAAAUGUUGUUUCUGUGGAUCAAUGAGCUUUCCAAUUCAGGCUAUGGUCAACCAUCUAAGAAGAUCAAAUUAUUAGUUGUGAUUAUUUGUGAAUUGUGAAAUUAGGGAGAAAGUUAUAUAGGUUAGAGAGAGUGAGAAAUUGUACAAGCUGGCACUAAUUGUGUCAUGGUUAUUUUUCAUUUUUGCCUCAAUGUUGUUGUUGUGUUUUGCCUCAAGGAAUGCUGUGAACCUUUGCAUAAAAGAAUAAUACAAAGAAUGCUAGAAAAGUUGCCAAGUUUUGAAUUCU